rnacentral:pre_miRNA from 1 species
AGCAGAAUUGCUGGGUUACAUAGUAACUUUUUGAGGAACUACCAGACUCUUUUCCAUGGGGGCUGUACCUUUUCAGAUUUCUACCAGAAAU